GACGAACGCUGGCGGCGUGCCUAAUACAUGCAAGUAGAACGCUGGAGGGGGAGCUUGCUUCGCUGGAUGAGUUGCGCGCGGGUGAGUAACGCGUAGGUAACCUGCCUGGUAGCGGGGGAUAACUGUUGGCAGCGAUAGCUAAUACAGCAUAAUAGCGGUUGUUGCAUGACGACUGUUUGAAAGGUGCAUAUGAGCCACUACCAGAUGGGCCUUCCUGGUAUUAGGUGGAUUGUGGGGUAACGGCUCACCAAGGGGACCAUACUUAGCCGACUUGAGAGGGUGAUCGACGACAAUGGGAAUGAGAACCGGCCCAGACUCCCUAGGGAGGCAGCAAGAGGGAAACAUCGGAAAUGGACGGAAAUCUUACCGAGCAACGCCGCGUGAGGGAAGAAGGUUUUCGGAACGUAAAGCUCUGUUGUAAUAGAAGAACGAGUAUGAGAGUGGAAAGUUCACACUUUGACGGUAUCUUACCAGAAAGCGACGGCUAACUACGUG
rnacentral:rRNA from 1 species